CCUACGGGUGGCAGCAGUCGAGAGGCUUCGGCAAUGGGGGCAACCCUGACCGAGCGACGCCGCGUGGGGGAUGAAGGCCUUUGGGUUGUAAACCCCUUUCGACCGGGAAGAAUCUCCGCCGGGUGAACAAUCUGGCGGGUUGACGGUACCGGUAGAAGAAGCUCCGGCUAACUCCGUGCCAGCAGCCGCGGUAACACGGGGGGAGCGAGCGUUGUUCGGAAUCACUGGGCGUAAAGGGCGUGUAGGCGGCUCGGUAAGUGGGAUGUGAAAUCCCCCGGCUUACCCGGGGAACGGCAUCCCAAACUGCUGGGCUUGAGUGUGGGAGAGGAUGGGGGAAUUCCUGGUGUAGCGGUGAAAUGCGUAGAUAUCAGGAGGAACACCGGUGGCGAAGGCGCCCAUCUGGCCCAUUACUGACGCUGAGGCGCGAAAGCUAGGGGAGC
rnacentral:rRNA from 1 species